UGUGGUUGAAAUGAUAUGAAGAACUUGUUCAGAUUUGAUUUUCAACAUUGCAAUGAGUGGCGAACGGGUGAGUAACACGUGGGAAACCUACCUCUUAGCAGGGGAUAACAUUUGGAAACAAAUGCUAAUACCGUAUAAUAAUUAAAACCGCAUGGUUUUAGUUUAAAAGAUGGUCUUGCUAUCACUAAGAGAUGGUCCCGCGGUGUAUUAGUUAGUUGGUGAGGUAAUGGCUCACCAAGACAAUGAUACAUAGCCGAGUUGAGAGACUGACCGGCCACAAUGGGACUGAGACACGGCCCAUACUCCUACGGGAGGCAGCAGUAGGGAAUCUUCCACAAUGGACGAAAGUCUGAUGGAGCAACGCCGCGUGUGUGAUGAAGGGUUUCGGCUCGUAAAACACUGUUGUAAGAGAAGAAUGACAUUGAGAGUAACUGUUCAAUGUGUGACGGUAUCUUACCAGAAAGGAACGGCUAAAUACGUGCCAGCAGCCGCGGUAAUACGUAUGUUCCAAGCGUUAUCCGGAUUUAUUGGGCGUAAAGCGAGCGCAGACGGUUAUUUAAGUCUGAAGUGAAAGCCCUCGGCUCAACCGAGGAAUUGCUUUGGAAACUGGAUAACUUGAGUGCAGUAGAGGAAAGUGGAACUCCAUGUGUAGCGGUGAAAUGCGUAGAUAUAUGGAAGAACACCAGUGGCGAAGGCGGCUUUCUGGACUGUAACUGACGUUGAGGCUCGAAAGUGUGGGUAGCAA
rnacentral:rRNA from 1 species